GGGGUACCCGAGUGGUCAAAGGGGCAGGGCUUAGGACCCUGUGACGUAGGUCUUCGAGGGUUCGAAUCCCUUCCCC
rnacentral:tRNA from 1 species